rnacentral:rRNA from 1 species
UGUAGUGUCAACGAUGAUGCAUACAUGUCAACUAUGGGUGUUGGCUCCAACAAUUCGCAUUGGUCUCAAACCAAUGACAUGCAUUUCGAAGACCAUGAGUUCGAGGUGGACGAGGAUGGUGAGGGCAUUGUCGACGCGCCGAAAGGAUGAGCGGGCAAUUACACCAACGCCGAAGACAUCUUACUAUGCAAUACUUGGUUGCAAGUGUCGAGGGAUCCAUCCGUUGGAGGUGAUCAAAGUAGAGAUGCUUAUUGGGGGCGGAUGAAAGGACACUUUGAUGUUCGCAGCGUGAGUGGAAUUGACCGCUCCGAGAGAUCACUUCGGUCCCGGUGGUCGACAAUCAACAAGGAUUGUCAAAAGUGGGCGGCCGCACAAAAGGCGGUUGACAAGUUGAACCCAAGUGGCACCAAUGAGGACGAUAGAGUAAGUGGAAUUUCAUCCAUGUUCAUCAUACUUGUUGUUGGUGUUUGA